AUUGAACGCUGGCGGCAGGCCUAACACAUGCAAGUCGAGCGGAGCGGCAGACGGGUACGUAAUGCCUAGGAAUCUGCCUGGUAGUGGGGGAUAACGUCCGGAACCGGGAGCUAAUACCGCAUACUCUGAGAUGAGCCUAGGUCGGAUUAGCGAGUUGGUGGUGUAAAGGCCUACCAAGGCGACGAUCCGUAACUGGUCUGAGAGGAUGAUCAGGCACACUGGAACGGAGACACGGUCCAGCCUCCUACGGGAGGCAGCAGUGGGGAAUAGUGGACAAUGGGCGAAAGCUUGAUUCAGCCAUGCCGCGUGUGUGAAGAAGGUCUUCGGAUUGUAAAGUACUUUAAGUUGGGAGGCGUUACCAACAGAAUAAGCACCGGCUAACUUCGUGCCAGCAGCCGCGGUAAUAC
rnacentral:rRNA from 1 species